rnacentral:snRNA from 1 species
GGAUGUGAGGCCGAUCUGGCUCUGACAUCUGUCACCCCAUUGAUCACCAGGGUUGAUUCGGCUGAUCUGGCUGGCUGGGCGGGUGUCCCCUUCCUCCCUCACUGCUCCAUGAAGCUGUGCGCUCUGUGGAAGGGGAUGACCAUCCCCAACAGAGGAGGACUGCUGUUCUCGGUCAAGGGCAUACAAAUAGCUGCGCUCCCCUGCUAGAACCUCCAAACAAGCUCUCAAGGUCCAGUAGGGCACUAGGAAACCGAGACAGGGAAG